UAUUAUCUGAUCGGACCGACCAAAUAAUCUGGGUGGAUAAUCGUUUUGGUAUUCAUCUGAUUAGAAUUCAAGAAGAGAAUGGGCGGACCAGAAAUUUCUACAAUUUCGUGGUAGCAAUUCGAAUCGUGAUCAAAUUCGGUAGCCUAAAUUAAAAUCCCUUUUGCGAAACGAAAAUCCUCUCUUAAGUCGACUCCGAGUUCAAUAAACCUCGCCAAAUCUCUUUUGAUUAUUUGGGAUUUUCGAUUGAGGUUGAGAAUCGAGAGAUUGAGCGAUUGAGAGAUUGUACUGUGACUGUGAGUGUAAGAAUAUGACGGAAAAGAAUUCGUAUUCGAGUGGAUCGGCCACUGCGCAGGACGCGAAGAACGACGAAACCGAGUGGGAGAUGAGGCCAGGCGGCAUGCUCGUCCAGAAGCGAGAAGUUGACAAUGGCGCCGAUGUUUCUUCCAGUGGCCCCAUGAUCUCCGUCAGUGUUACUCACGGCCAUGGCCCUGCUAAGUACAAGAUUUUACUCCCUGCCCAAUCGACUUUCGGCGAUAUGAAGAAACACCUUGUGGCGAAGACCGGGUUACAGCCUGAAGAGCAGAGACUCCUGUUUCGAGGAAAGGAGAAAGAUGAUGAUGAGCACUUGCAUACUGCGGGCGUGAAGGAUAUGUCGAAGAUUUUGCUUUUGGAGAACCACACAAGCAAACAGAGGAAUGUGGAAGAUGUACAGAGGAAGGUGGAAGAUUUACAGAGGAAAGUGGAUGAUGUUAAGAUGAGUGGUGAGGUUUCAAAGGCAUUGGAAGCCAUUGCUGAGGUUCGAUCUGAAGUUGAUAAGCUUUCAGAUAGGGUUGCUGCCUUGGAAGUAGCUGUUAAUGGUGGUACAACUGUUGUAGACAAGGAAUUUGUAGUAUCAACAGAGCUGCUGAUGAGACAACUGUUGAAAUUGGAUAGUAUUGAUGCUGAAGGAGAAGCAAAGUUGCAGAGAAAGGCUGAGGCACGCUCUUUUUCGUUCCAUUCUAUACUAUUAGUACGCCGUGUCCAAAACUUCGUCGACACACUGGAUGCUCUGAAGGCACGAAACUCCAACCCAAUCAGCAACAAUCACAACAACACGGUUUCAGUGACAACCGAAUGGGAAACCUUCGACUCGGGAGUCAGUAGCUUGACUCCACCCUCCCCAGCUCCAUCUUCUACAACAGUAACCCAGGAUUGGGAACGGUUCGACUAGCUCAAAAACACAUGCAAAGAGACCAAAGCCUCGGCCCUGUUGUCACUGUCAUGACAUGUCCUGUUUCUUGUUUCCAUUAUUAUAAAUUCGUUAUGAAUGCCUUCUGAGCCAGCGGGGUCCUUCCUUACAGUUGCCUCGUCCCAUCAUCAGACACAACUCAUCCACUGGGUCUAAGUCAGAAGUCGAAUGUUAAAUGAUGUUUUGUUUAUAACCAAAAACCCACAAUAAAUUCCAUAACCGCUGGACCCUUUACUCUCACAGGGCCCAUUUUUCUUGCACAGUUUUAUGAUCAGCAUUUAGUACUGUACCCCCUCUUCUGCUUCUGCUCCCUAACAGGUCUUGCCAUUAUUCUUGAAUCUUGAUCAGAUCCCACCUCCUUCGGAGCUGCAUAUGUAUUUUUAUGGAAAUGAAAGUCGCUCAUAAAUUAUGUAUGUUGUGAUCGCAUGCUUAAACGGUUGGAUUUUGCAACCUCUUGUAGUGUAGCGGAAUCCAUGGAAAUCCUAAUUGGUAAUGAUCGAAAAAUAGUCACAAAUUGACAAUUCUUUUGUUCACAACUUAAGCGUAGGGCGUAAAAUUUUUCUUUAGUUUCUGUUUUGCAGGUUGGAGUGGUUUCUUUCUCUUGAGUUUGAGGGUAGUUGUAAUCAAACAAUUUGGACGAUGAUUGUUCAAAUUAAAAGUUUGAGGGUGUGAUUGUAAUCCAACUUGAUAGUUCACUUUGAGUACUGUGAUGAGAGUGUAUUUUAUUUAACCUCCAUUGAAGAAUAUUCAAUUUAUGAAA